AACAUAAUAUUUUUUAUUUGGAUUGGGCUAUACUCACACAUAAAAAACGGGUUUGAAAUAUUACAUUCCCGGCUUGAACCAGGCUGAUUAUGAGGUCUAAUCUUCUUCAAUGCUUUCAUUUUGUUGUUGAAAAAAAACCUUCAAAUUCGAUCCAACAGCUAGUACCUCUCUCUUGCAAGUGGAGUUUGAAUGCUUCAGCUCUUGAUAACGAAACCCCCUGAAGAAAAGGAAUAGCAGCAUAAACAUGAUUGGCCGCUUUAAACUUACCAAUGUUUAUGGAUUUCAAAUAUUCUUGUGUAAAUAGACAUGAAUGAAAAUCUUUACUUCUAAAAGAUUGAAAAACUCCAAGCAAAAGUUUUAGUUUUGAUAACAUUUUUGGGAGAUGCUUUAUGGUGAGAACAAGGGAUGACCAAAUUGGACCUUGACUCAACUAAAACCUGUUAGUGUUGCAGUUUCAAUUCAAAAUCCUACCUUUGCACCUAGAUAAAAGUUGCUUACAAUAAAUAUAAACCCAAAUAAAGCUACAGUUAUGAUGAGAUAGUUGAAGUACUUACUGGUACGGAUUAUGUAGUUGCAGUUCCGAGAUAUGGGAAAAGUUUGCAGAUUGAUAUUCAAAACCCAACUAAAAUAAGCAUGGUUUCUGUAAAAGAUGAAUCUGGAAUCAAUUUUAGUGAUAUUUCUAAUCAACAUAUUGUAUGUCUUCAAUGAUUAUGACAGCAUUUAAUAUGCAAAAUUGCUGAUAAAGUGAAAAACAGAGCAUUUGAUUUUUGAAGACGAAGAGAAGGGUGGGGGGGGGGGGAGAGAAAUAAUACAUAUUUUAUUUUUAUUAUUUAAUUUUAAUAAAUGUUUUUAAGUAAAAAAUUGAAAAUAUAAAAUUAUGACGUGUCACUUUUUAAUUGCUGAGAUUUUUUUUCUAACCUCUGUAAAAGAAACUAAAAACUAUAUCCUAUGGCUUGCUUUCUAUUUCCUAAUUCUCUUUGCAAAGCAAAAAGGAUAUGGCAAAAGGGGUAUUCAUUAGUGUGAAUGGAUAAAACUUUGUGAUUUAAAGGAGAAUGGAGGUAUUGGCUUUCAUUGCUUAACAAAAUUCAAUUUAUCUUUAUUAGUAAAAUAGGGUUGCCGAUUAAUUUGUAAUCUGAAUUCUUUGCUUAUGCAUGUGUUAAAAGCUAAGUAUUGUCCCAAAACAGAUUUCAUAAAUGCAAGGUUAGGGAGUCUACCUUCCUAUACUUUGAAGAGCAUUUGGGCUUCCAAAGGGAUACUCCAAGAUGGGAUGUGCUGGAGAGUUGGGAAUGGGGAAAGAAUUCUAGUUAUUGGAGCUGCAUAGGUGCCUCGUUUAGAGAAUCGCAAAAUUCAAACUGUUAGUAGUAUUCCAGAUUCAAUGAUGGUAACUGAUUUUAUUGUUAAGAAAUCUAGGCUUUGGAAUGAAGAACUUAUCAAAAGUACCUUCAGUAU
rnacentral:lncRNA from 1 species